CGCAUCGACCUGGUAUUGCAGUACU
rnacentral:piRNA from 3 species